CUAAAGCGAAUACAACAACAUCAUUUUUCACUCUAGGAGGAAGUCAAAACAACGAAUUAUCAACUAGCCUUGGGGAGCCAGCGGACAGAAUGCAGCCGGCAGUCUUGGCAGAGGUUUUCCUUAUUGCGUGUGGUGUCAUGAUCACUUCAGCUCAAGAAUGGAAAAAUGUCGGAAACUGCGGUGCAGGAUUGA